rnacentral:piRNA from 1 species
GCGGAUUUGGUCGAACCACCUUGUCGGAC